rnacentral:rRNA from 1 species
GAGUUUGAUCAUGGCUCAGAUUGAACGCUGGCGGCAUGCCUUACACAUGCAAGUCGAACGGCAGCAUGAUCUAGCUUGCUAGAUUGAUGGCGAGUGGCGAACGGGUGAGUAAUACAUCGGAACGUGCCCUGUAGUGGGGAGUAACUAGUCGGAAGAUUAGCUAAUACCGCAUACGACCUGAGGGUGAAAGUGGGGGACCGCAAGGCCUCAUGCUAUAGGAGCGGCCGAUGUCUGAUUAGCUAGUUGGUGGGGUAAAGGCCCACCAAGGCGACGAUCAGUAGCUGGUCUGAGAGGACGAUCAGCCACACUGGGACUGAGACACGGCCCAGACUCCUACGGGAGGCAGCAGUGGGGAAUUUUGGACAAUGGGCGAAAGCCUGAUCCAGCAAUGCCGCGUGUGUGAAGAAGGCCUCGG